AGAGGGGGAUAACAUUUGGAAACAGAUGCUAAUACCGCAUAAGAUUACAGUACCGCAUGAUACAGUGAUCAAAGGAGCAAUCCGCUGAAAGAUGGGCUCGCGUCCGAUUAGAUAGUUGGUGAGGUAACGGCUCACCAAGUCGACGAUCGGUAGCCGGACUGAGAGGUUGAACGGCCACAUUGGGACUGAGAUACGGCCCAGACUCCUACGGGAGGCAGCAGUGGGGAAUAUUGGGCAAUGGGCGCAAGCCUGACCCAGCAACGCCGCGUGAAGGAAGAAGGCUUUCGGGUUGUAAACUUCUUUACCAGGGACGAAGGACGUGACGGUACCUGGAGAAAAAGCCACGGCUAACUACGUG
rnacentral:rRNA from 1 species